GACGAACGCUGGCGGCGUGCCUAAUACAUGCAAGUAGAACGCACAGUUUAUACUGUAGCUUGCUACACCAUAGACUGUGAGUUGCGAACGGGUGAGUAACGCGUAGGUAACCUGCCUGGUAGCGGGAGAUAACUAUUGGAAACUAUAGCUAAUACCGCAUAAUAUUUAUUAUUGCAUGAUAAUUGAUUGAGAUAUUCUAUUGCCUCACUACCAUAUGGACCUGCGUUGUAUUAGCUAGUAGGUGAGGUAACGUCUCACCUAGGCGACGAUACAUAGCCGACCUGAGAGGGUGAUCGGCCACACUGGGACUGAGACACGGCCCAGACUCCUACGGGAGGCAGCAGUAGGGAAUCUUCGGCAAUGGACGAAAGUCUGACCGAGCAACGCCGCGUGAGUGAAGAAGGUUUUCGGAUCGUAAAGCUCUGUUGUAAGAGAAGAACGGGUGUGAGAGUGGAAAGUUCACACUGUGACGGUAUCUUACCAGAAAGGGACGGCUAACUACGUG
rnacentral:rRNA from 1 species